rnacentral:rRNA from 1 species
GACGAACGCUGGCGGCGUGCUUAACACAUGCAAGUCGAACGGAAAGGCACUGCUUUUGUGGGGUGCUCGAGUGGCGAACGGGUGAGUAACACGUGAGUAACCUGCCCUUGACUUUGGGAUAACUUCAGGAAACUGGGGCUAAUACCGGAUAGGAGCUCCUGCUGCAUGGUGGGGGUUGGAACGUUUCGGCGGUUGGGGAUGGACUCGCGGCUUAUCAGCUUGUUGGUGGGGUAGUGGCUUACCAAGGCUUUGACGGGUAGCCGGCCUGAGAGGGUGACCGGCCACAUUGGGACUGAGAGACGGCCCAGACUCCUACGGGAGGCAGCAGUGGGGAAUAUUGCACAAUGGGCGGAAGCCUGAUGCAGCAACGCCGCGUGCGGGAUGACGGCCUUCGGGUUGUAAACCGCUUUCGCCUGUGACGAAGCGUGAGUGACGGUAAUGGGUAAAGAAGCACCGGCUAACUACGUG